rnacentral:rRNA from 1 species
AUUGAACGCUGGCGGCAGGCCUAACAAAUGCAAGUCGAACGAGUGGCGGACGGGUGCGUAAUGGCUGGGAAAAUGCCUGAUGGAGGGGGAUAACUACUGGAAACGGUAGCUAAUACCGCUUACCAUCGGAUGUGCCCAGAUGGGAUUAGAUAGGAGGUGGGGUAACGGCUCACCUAGGCGACGAUCCCUAGCUGGUCUGAGAGGAUGUCCAGACACACUGGAACUUAGACUCUGUCCAGACUCCUACGGUAGGCAGGAGUGGGGAAUAUUGCACAAUGGGCGCAAGCCUGAUGCAGCCAUGCCGCGUGUAUGAAGACGGCCUUAGGGUUGUAAAGUUCUUUCAGCGGGGAGGCGUUACCCGCAGAAGAAGCACCGACUAACUCCGUGCCAGCAGCAGCGGGAAUUC